UUCUUUUAAUAAUGAUUUGUAUUUUUUCCAUUAUAGCUGGUUUACAGUGUUCUGUUUCCUACUGCACAGCGAGGUGACCCAGUCACAGAUACAUGUAUACAAUCCCUUUUUCUCACAUUAUCCUGCUCCAUCAUAAGUGACUAGAUAUAGUUCCCAGGACUCACGUAGCCCGUGAUGCCACAUGUGAAGGGGCUCAAUAACUGUCAGCUCCUCGUCCACUCCUGCCUGUUCCCAGGUGAUGUCCAGGUUACACACGGGCCAGGGGCUGGCUCAGGGAACUGGGGGCAUGGGGGGCGGGGGGCACUGGCUGCAAAAAGCCUUAGAGGAGAAGGCAAGGGCUGAAUUCAGAAUUCACUUCCAUACAGCCACCCCAAGAUAAGAUGGUCAGACUGGCAUCUAAAGGGAGACUGGUGGUCCACUCGGACCACCGGAAAACAACUACUGCCUAAGCCCCACAGGAGAAAUCUUAAGGUAACUCAUCACCAGUGGGGAAGGAGGGCUCACGCCACUCGCGAGGCGUCAUAACUACUGAACCUCACAGUGAUCCUGUGAGACAGGCUCCGUUAAGCCUCUUGUGCAGGAGAGGAAACGGAGGCUCGGAGUGCCCAAGCAACGGACCUGCCAUCACACAGCAGAGCUGACCGUGGGGACACAGGGCUGGCUUCACUCGCUCCUGGAGGGUGACCAGCUGUCCAAUUUUCCCAGGACUUGAGACUCCCAGUUUUAAAAUGAGGACAGUCCUGGGCAAAGAGGGGUGAGCUGGUCAACCCUACCCAGAGCUGUGCCCUUCAGCCUCCACGUUGGGCACGCGCUGAACAAGGGCAGGUUUGCGAGAAAACGCCACCAGUGGCCGGAGCAGGCUGCCUGCCUGGGAGAGCCACGGCCCAUGACAUCCUGCACACGCAGCUAAGGACGGGGACAGGGGGACAGGGUGCGACGGAGGUAUAGCAAAGAUAAGCCGAUUACCUGGCAUCUUGGGGACAGUGAAGGCUCCACAUAGCCUGGGGACUGGCCCUGCCCUGAGGCCUACUCUGGAAUGGAAACUUCUAAAUACCGAUCACAUAACCAGAAGCGGUUUUCUGGCCUGCUUUUUGUUUUUGUUUUGCUUUUUUUUCAUUUGAACAAUAGGUAAUCAGAAUGUGCUGGGUCAGUGACAUACUGUCAUAAUUUGCCAAACAAAGCAAGGGGAACACGAUCCCAGCGGUAAUGCUUUGCAUUUCUUACGAGGGCGAGUCCUGGGCGUGACUUCAUUUUCCAGAGCUGCUGGCGGUGUCCCUGUCUCCCUCCUCAUCACCCCACCCCCAGCACGAUGCUCCAGUGCCUGGCAUGUGAGAGGCCCAGGGCAGUGGGCGAAUGAGCUGAGGUCUCUGUUCCGCAGUGACUAAGGCACCCCCAGGCCACCCAAGCUGAUCCUCUGUGGCUGUGUCACCUCCCCGGCCAUCGAUCCCAUGGAUCCUGUGCUCAGGACUGUCCUAAACGCUCCACACAUAAGCUGACCGCGUCCUCUACUGACCAACCCAGGACACUCUGGGGGACAAAAUGAAAUGGGGCACAACUGAGAAUGACCCCAGGACGACACGUGUUAACAGGGAUUGUCGCAGGCAAAACAGCCCAGGGGUCAGGCUGUUGAAGUACCUAGAGUGACAGCUCGGAGGGAACAGGCCCAGGCUCCGGGCCACAGCCUCUGGGCGAAAGCCCAGCCCUGCCACCUACCAGCUGUGUGAGUGAUCUAACCUCUCCCAGCCUCGGUUUCCUCACCUGCACAACGGGGCUGGGUAGUAGCGGCUCCUAGGGCUCCGGCGAAGACCACGCUGCUCCUGUUAGCAUCUGCAAAGCCUGCAUAUGGGACCUAGCAUGUGGGAGGUGCACUACACAUAAUAGAAUAUUUUAUUUAAUAACAGACAACAAAAUUCUCCUAUCGCCCCCAGGGGAUUACUAGAAUCAUCGCUGUUUCACAAAUAAGGAAACCAAGGCACAGAGGGGUUCCGUAACCGCUGAAGUUCGUGGCAGAGUGGACGCGAACCUAAGACCCAGGCCCUGUCCUAGGGCACCAGCAGUCCUGGCUCUGGCCCCACUCCACCCCACCUCCGACACUGGGGAGUGGGACACUGCCUCUCCCCAUCUCAGCAUUUAGGACACAGGUCAAGUAAAGGUGCAGAAAGAACAGAAUCCACACGUGGCACAUGGCACUGCCAGAGCUCACCCUCAGGCCCAAGAGGCGGCCGACUUAGAGGCUGUGUGGCAUUUGCGAAUUCCAGAGGCACCAGUCCCAUAGGAAGGGCACUGCUGCCUAGGUCACAAGCCAGCGUUCCCCUUUUCCCCUCUAGCCAAGUUACUCGAUCUCAGAAAUUCCUUUGCAAGACAAGACUGAAAUGCAAUCUCCAACCCUGUCGGGCCCAGUGGAAUUUCACCAACACAAAUUGCCGAGUUCUCCAGGAAAACGGAGGAAGCCUGCCUGAAGUUUCAGAUUCUUGGUAGGUCUUAGAAAGCUCCAGCACUCGAGUGGCUCCUGGAAGCGGCAGGAAGUGGUUUGCCUUUGCUUAUUUUCCAAAGGAUAACCACCAGAUUUGCUCAUAAAAACUUUGUAACCAACUGGCAAAGGACACCUGUGCAAUCAAGUGAUUUCUCAGUUCCUUGGGGCUUUCUUUUGUUAAUUCAAUUCAAAGAAGUAGUGCUCAGGGCUGGACAAAGUGCUCAGCACACAGAAAAACAAGAGAGAGAAAAAGAGAGGGGGGAGGGAAAGGGGGGAGGGCAGCAGAGCAUCUUGAUGAAGAACCAAAAUUCACCAAAAGCAAAGUUACAAGGUCAGGGAAAGCCCACGGCUCUGGGAGCAGCAGUGCUCGGGCAGCACCAGCCAUCAGCUGGAACAAAGGGCCAGGCCUAGAGCUGGCAGCACACGGGAGGGAGGGAGAGAGGGAGGAGGCACGGAGACCAGGAGCGGCCGGUGACGGCUGAGUGCAGAGGGAGGACCUGGGCCCUGGCUCCUGGCUGGGAACGUCUGGNNNNNNNNNNNNNNNNNNNNNNNNNNNNNNNNNNNNNNNNNNGUGGAUACGGGGGUGAGCCAAGCAAGGCGCAGAGACAGGUAAAGGUGCCGGUGGCCCAGGGCGGAGGCCAAGGACGCUGGGGUCUUGGCUCGAAGUCUGGGUACUUCUGAUGAGGCCAAUUCAGGAGAGUCUCACCCAGGCCCACAAGCCCAGGCUUGAAACUGGGCAGGGCUGGGAGCCGCUGACGGUCAGACGCAGAAGCCCAGCGGGGUGGGGGCGGGCAGAUGAGCUGGAAGGGAGGCGAGGGACAAGUGCCUGGAAGAGAAGGGCCAGAGGAGGAAAUGCGUUUCCUGCCAGGAACACGUGGGAGGCCUCCGGUCCAGUCACUCUGCUCCCCGGGGAUGCGUCCUGUCCCCAGCCCAGUGCAGCCUGGAGGAGCCCAGAUUCCUGGGGUGCGGACCAGCCCAGAAGAUGGGCGGGAAGGGAGCCCAGUGGGGGCUCUGGCAGAGGGAAGAGCUCUGGGGCUCCAGGCCCCCCACAGAGCCAGCAAGCGGGUGAGCAGGGGUGGCCGAGGCAGGCGAGUCCAGACCCGUAGAUUCACUUCCCUCUCCAGCGGACUGAGAGUGAGGAAAUGGAGAACAAUCUGGAAGGGGCUCUGGGAAAGGGAGCUGGAGCCUGGGACUUGAGAUGGAGACUGAGGGCCCAUGUGAGCGUGUACGUAUGUGUGUGUGAGUGGUGUGCAUGUGCAGACACAAGCCUGUUCUCCAGCACCUGAGUCCUUCCGCGCACAUGGAGGUUGUGCACCCAUGACCUGGAGAACGUGGUCUCGUGUGCACACUGAGAAGGUGUACCCACGCCUGCACGCAUUUACACGGUGAGCCCGGCGCAGGCCCACACACCUUCACGGGCACGGCAUCAGAUCGGGUUCAGAGCCGUGGAGGGGGACUGAAUCUUGGCCUACACUGCACGGACGUGUGGCCUUGAGCAAGUGACCUAAGUUCUCCAGGGCUGUUUGCUCAUCUGGACGACGGGCUAAUAGAAGUGGGCGUCUCAGUGUCGUUAGGGGUGAAACGAAUUCGCAGUUGUAAAGCACGUAGAUGGGCCUGAGCAAACGCUACAUACAUGUGUGGUGAAGAAAUAAACCCUUGCCUGCAGAUGAGCGCUUACACAGCUAGGCGUGGACACCUGGGGACACCAGAGAGGUGUGCCCAGUGGAGGAAGGACACAUAAGGGCAAGUGCACACGCGGGCAAGGAGACGCUUGGUGUGCAGGCAUGUGCCAUUCUGGAACACGUGUGCUACCUGUACCCACGAUGCCCGAUGCCCAAGGGAGGAAGUGUGUGCGACGGCCCAAGACACGUGCUGCUCAUGGGUCAGUGGGAAGACACGUGUGUACGCGUGCGGGCGCGCAAGGGACGGCUGGGGAGCACGCAUGCGCGUGGGCCGCCCCCACGCGUGGUGAAAGGCAGCUCUGAGCAGCCUGGGCCGUCACCAGUGGCCAGAUGCCCAGAAGGACCCCUCGGGCCAACUGGCAGUGGGGAAAGGUAACCCACGCCAUCAAGGCCGGCGACAAGGACCACGUCUGCUUCAACCUGGCGCCUCAGCAAGUUUUACAGGAGGGUCGGAAAGGGGGAGCGCGAGCAGGGGAGGGACAGAGACACGACGGUACGCGGGCCACCCACUGGACACACACGCAUUAUUUCCUUUAACCCUCCUGGCAGCCCUGGGAGGAGUGCCACCCUCGUUUUCUCCGAUGAGGAAACAGAUGAAGUAAUUUGCCCAGAGACCUUCGGCUUUGUAUCUGUGGCUGCCCCCUCCACCGCUGCGCUGUUCUGAGAAUGAAUGAGCGAACACACGGGCAGGGAUGAAUGAACAGAGAACAAUGGUAAGGAAACCGAAACUUAGUGUCCAGAGGAGCCACAGCAAAGGGAAGCGCUGGCCUAGCAGGCACAUGCCACACUUGAGAAGGACCCACGUGGCAGAGGGUAGGCGGAGGCUCCCAGGCCAGGCUCCACCAGCCCAGAGCCAAGGCAGGCCUGGCAUCUCCAUGACGGGGCCUCAGUGUAAAUUCUGAAAACUGGUGUCCGUGCCACUCACCUCCCCUGGGGUUUGAGGUGAGCCAGGUGCCAGCUACCCAGCCCCCCAGGGGCUGGGACAUCGCGGGGAGGAUGUGCUAUCACGUGACUUCUCAAAGUGUGCUGUGCAGAGUUCAAGCCAAUGACAGCGAGAGGAAGUCCCCUUGUCCCCGGAGACCCUUCCAGAAGCUGCCAGCUGGGUUCAGGGGCUCUGUGGAAAUGGUCCCUUAGGCCCCCAGCCUACCACACUUAGCAGUCCUGACUUCAGGUGGCCCUGGACAAGUGGCUCAACCUGGCGGGGCCCCAAGCUCUUCCAUGGGGGCAAGGAUCGAUCCCCCAGUAGGGGUUGGGGUGGGAGGCCCCACACGGGGCUGAGAGCAGAGCUCAUGAGACACGUGGCAGGUCCUCCCACGGGAGGCCAUUCUUAUAAAUGGCAACCAUCCAGGGGCCCCGGACACCCCUUAAAGUACAUCCGUGAUCUACUUUCAGGGCCUUGUCCAACUCCCAGCUCACCUGCCACUACGGGAGCAGGUGGCCCCAGGCACUGCUUCCAACGGGUGCUGGUUUCUCCCUCCUACACCUGCUGCUCGCCCCUGCCCGCCUCUCUGUUUAACAGAAUGUUCUUCUUGGGCUCUGACCAUUUUCACUGAGAGUGCUGGUUUUCAAACUGCGUCCCCUGGAGCCUCUGAAUGGGUCCCGGGGGUCCCUGUGGGGCUGACCUUUACCUCGACCUGGACAGUACGGCCUUAUGAACCUUCUCUUGUGAGGAAGAGCCCUGAGGCUGAAAUCACACAAAGGUUUAUUACCCAACUGCACAUCACAAAACCCUUUCUUGCAGAAGCCCUGCACCCCCCCCCCCGCAUGCAUCCAUUCAUUUUACUCAUUUAUCCAUUUCCUGACAGUCUCCCUCAACUAGUACGGACCACAAAGGCAUCGGGGGUGGGGGUGGGGGGCUGUUGUUUGUUUUGUUCAUGUCUGUAUCCAGAGCACAACAGUAGGCCCAAUAAAUAUUGACUUUAUUUUAUAAUGAACUAAAUGCAAUGAUUAGUACCAAUAACCACAGCACUGACUAGGGGCCAGGCUCUGUUAACACCUGUUACGUGUGUUCACUCACCCAGGGCCCACACCGACCCUGGAAGGAAGGUCCCACCAUUCUCCCCAAUUUACAGAAGAAAGAACUGAGACACAGCUGAGCUCACUACCCCGGAUUUGCAGCAUCUUGCAGCCCCUACCUCCAGUCCCUGGCUCUCCCACUCCCCGGGCCUGGAACAGGACCCUGCUCCCUUCGCUCCUCUCCUCAUCAGUCACGUCUCAGAGCUGGGGGGGUGGAGGGAGGAAUGCAGAAAACUACCUUUUACAUUUGUAUGUGCCCACUUCCAAGACAAGAAGACUGAGGACUGAGAACUCCCUUUCUAAGUCGGGGAAUAGGGUAGAAAGGAAAUAGACAACAGUGGGCUUGGUGAGUGGGGCUAACCAACGUUCCAAGAAGGAUGGGCGCCUGCCGCUGAGGACCAGGGAGGGCUUCCCGGAGGCGACAGCUCAAGGAUGUCAGGUUGGAGCUCGGUCUCCUCCGUGAGUGAGGGCUCCAGGUCAAAGCCUCCAAGUGGCAGCUGCUGAUGGCUCUGGGGUCUCAGCCACAAAAAGAGAAGGAAGAGGGGCCCAGGAUAUCUCAGAUGAGGGACACAGCUACCCAACCCCCAACAAGCAGGUCUGUGCUUCCAUCAGCCUAUGGUCGGUCAGCAGUGGCGAGUAAGGCUCUGGCCACAGCCCGCGAGCGGGCAGAGGCACGGCGGCAGGGGAGGAGCGCACAGCAAGCUUCCCACCGUCCCCGCCGUGCAGACCGCACCCCAGCAGCCAAGCGGCCAGUCCCAUCCUUCCCUGGACGCCAGGGCGGAAAUCCGUAACUUCCCUCCUCGCGGGAAAUGGAGCGACGGCCGGGCUGGGUCGGUCUGUUGUUCUCCCCAAGGUCCCUCCACCGCCCAUCCAGGCAGGCAGCUCCUUUUUCAGCCCCGGCCCAGGCCCCUCACGGGAGCCUCGCUCCUCAGGUCUGCCUGGCUCCCACCCAGCACUGUGCCCACCCUGCCUGGGCACACCCAUGGGUUCCUUCCCACCUCCCCCAGGUCAGGAAGCUCCCAUCUGACCACCAGUGUCCAUGCCUCCUAAGACCCUGUGUUAUGGUGAUAAUGACACUGACAGUGACGACAGCUGACACCCUGCCAGGCACUUUACACUUAUUAAUUCACAUAAUUCAAAACUUUGCCACAGGAAGCAGGAUUAGGCCCAUGUACAGAAGAGGAAACUGAGGUUCAGAGAGGCCACCUAACUCGCCCAAAGCCUUGGAGUGCCCAGGCACAGGACUAGUCACCAGGACCAGGCCGAAGUCAGCUCUGGGACUACGGCCAGGGACAUCUUCCAGGCGUCAUUAAUGACAAUGGGGCCCAAGCCAGGGGCUUCUUUAGCAGGUAAACGAGAUAAUGCAGGUAAGUGCCUGGCAUCUCGAGGCUCUGGAUAAACGGCAGUUAUUCUUAUCUAUCCUUGUUAAGAAUAACCAGGAUAAAAAUCCAACCAGGAUGAGACUAGCAGGUGUCAGCGGCCCAUGGGCAGCAUCAGGGAGUCAAAGGGGCCCCGUAGGUAGGCCUGGCCUGAGUUCGAGUCCCGGCUCAGCACUUGCUACUGUGUGGCCCUGGACAUCAUGGGCAAGGGAAGAAGGGCGGCCCUCGGGUCACACCGUGACCCCCGGGAACCGUGCAGACAAACGUGAGCACGCCUGGCAUGAGGGCUGCCCUGAACACUAGUCCCAGGGCGGCACCAGCCAGCGCUCUGCUCUAACCUGCUCUUUUGACGUCGGCUUCCUGUGGGAAGUGUGUCCAGCUUCGUAUCCUCCCCGAGGUGAAAGGAGGGCUGUCUGCCCUUCCCCUGGGAAGUUCCUAAGGAGGCCCGGCAGGUGCAGGCAGUGCUAAGGAGCACCCCUGCCCCGCAGCCCCAGGCUCCUCUCCACCCUUUGCAUCAAUGAGGGUCAGUGCUGGGGACCUUCCCCCCUCAUCUGCUCUGUUCUGGAAACACCUCUGGACAAUGGACCUGCUAUGGAUGUCCCGGCCUGGGGCUGGGACCAGAGAGAAGACUGCUGUCCAGCAGGUGGGCCCUGGAGCCGCUGGCCGAGGCUAGGGUAGCACAGCAUCAGCCUGCUGUGGGCCAGAGACCCAGGAAGAGGCGGCUCCAGCAGCCCAACGCCAACGUGACCCUGACCUUGCUUCCCCAGGGGACUGGUCAGCAGGCGAGGAUGGUGCCUGGAGGCAAGCUUCUGGAAUAUUCCUCACCCAGGUGGGUGUGCUGUUACCUCCAAGUCAGGUACUUGGGUUUCCACGUCUCAGAUCCCAGGUGGAAUCAGAGUUCCACACACAUACAUUUUUUUUAUUAAGAUAAAAAACAGCUAAUAAAUAAAUCAUCUCCUAAGACUUCCUGAAAAGCUUCCAGUUCAUAGCCUGGGCCUGAAAACGAAACAGACAACCCAUGGGCCUGUGUGGACCAUGCUCAGCCUUUCCCCUCCCCUUCAUGGUGUUGGGGGGGGCAGGGGGUCACCGAGUGGUUAGUUUCCUCUCUGAGCCUCAGUUUCCCCACCUUUCAGUUCCACUGUUGGGGAGAUUACAAAGAGCACAGAUGCCUGUGCAUAGCAGGCCCUCCGAAACACUUUCUGGUUGCAAUUCUUACCAUUUUUAUUAUUAUACCAACUCUCUGAACCCUGGGUUUCCACGUGUGAAGUGGGAACAAGCAACCUCAUUAGCCACAUGGCUG
ensembl:lncRNA